rnacentral:lncRNA from 1 species
AGAUAUCAAUAGAUAAGUAGACACAAACAUAUUAUAGAGGGAAUAAAGUGUCGUUACCAGUGAGAGAGAAAGUAUAGAAUGCAUCUAUGAAGGAGACGAACAUGAAAAUAAUUGGUCAAAACGAACGAAAAUCAUACAUAAAGUUAAUUAGUAUGCAUUUGUAUCAAGUGAAAGAAAGAUUACAUGUGAUGGUUGUCAAACUUUGUUCGAGAAAAGUUUGAUAAGAGAAGAGAGUCUCGCACGCUAAGAUAAAGUGAAUGAAUUUUCAAUCUCCC